rnacentral:RNase_P_RNA from 1 species
UAUUUUGGGUAAUCGCUAUAAAUUUAUAUUUAUAGAGGAAAGUCCAUGCUCACACAAUCUGAGAUGAUUGUAGUGUUCGUGCUUGAUGAAACAAUAAGUCAAGGCAAUGCAAAUUGACGGCAACGAAUUAACCUAAGUCUUAGGAUACGGUUAUAAUAGUUUGAAAGUGCCACAGUGACGUAGCUCUGCUAGAAAUAGUAGAGGUGGAACGCGGUAAACCCCUCGAGUGAGCAAUCCAAAUUUGGUAGGAGCACUUGUUUAGCGGAAUUCAACGCAUAAACGAGAAUGUAUGUAAAUCAUACUUUAGACAGAUGAUUACCACCGGCGUACGAGUGCAGCUAGUGCACGUAUAAAGUACUAAGGAACAGAACAUGGCUUAUAGAA